UACAGAGGGGGCAAGCGUUGUUCGGAAUUACUGGGCGUAAAGGGCGCGUAGGCGGCCUGUUAAGUCGAACGUGAAAUCCCCGGGCUCAACCCGGGAACUGCGUCCGAUACUGGCAGGCUUGAAUCCGGGAGAGGGAUGCGGAAUUCCAGGUGUAGCGGUGAAAUGCGUAGAGAUCUGGAGGAACACCGGUGGCGAAGGCGGCAUCCUGGACCGGCAUUGACGCUGAGGCGCGAAAGCCAGGGGAGCAAACGGG
rnacentral:rRNA from 1 species